GAUGGGUUGCUCUUUUCAUAACAGUGCUUCAGUUACUCCAGGGAAGCCAUGGAUUGGGGAGUGGCAUCUUACAAAAGCAAGAACUUAUUGAAGAAUUGUUUCUGUGGAAUUUAGUGGCAUGUCUCAGUGGGAGCAGUUAUUUGGAAAAAGGGAAAAUGGGGCCACUUCUUAAAAGAAAGUUGAAUAAAAAUCCCCUUUAGUAAUUAUUUUAGACAGUGGACACCAAAAUGACUAUUGUACUUUCCUGGAUCUAAAUGAGGAACUUGUAUUUAAAUGUCACUACUCUGUGACAAGAGUAUGAGAUGAUUACUAGGUGAAAUUUAGAUAAACAUUAAAAAAUCUGAGUAACAGCAAAGAUUCUUUUUGAUUGAACAUACAUUUGAUAUAUUUUACUUUUUAUCAAAUUUUAUUAGAAUGAAUGUAUUUAUUCUAAUAGAGACUUAGCCCAAUAAGUCUUUUCAUAGAAAGUCCAGGGGGUAACUUUCCAGGCUUAGGAUAAAUCUUUACAAGAGGUGUUUCUAGGGUGGGCAUAAAAGAGGCAGCCCCCUUGGUCUAAAAAUUUUACUUCCAAAGAAAAUUAAGAAAAAAAAAGUAGGUUGAAGCAAAGACAAAAUCCUCAAGACCUAAACAGAGUGUUGCUUGGCACCUUCCUAUCUUGAAUUCUCGGCCUUCUCACACUGGCUGCCUGCUCCACAUUUGAAAUCAAAGGUAUCACUUUUAAAUCUAAACUGCUAUAAGAUUUAGGUGAUCUUAUUUGUUACUUAGAGUAAGACAUCAACUAUAAAUAGAUUUUCUUUUAUUGAAGUUUGUCUAACUCUGUCUUUAGUAUCUCCAAAUCCUCCUAAAAUACUCUGUAUAAAGUCUUUGUGCCCUAUUUUAAAAAGUGUAAGUUUUCAGUUGCACCUAGAUUACUUGAAACCUCACGAAUAUUCUUUUAAUAAGGGACUAAGACUUCUAUUUUGCUUUUGCUUGAAGAGUUCAAAUUUGGGACUGGGCUUUUGGGGGCUCCAGGAAUGCCUGGAAGCAGGAAUAGAUGUAUCAGGAAUGA
rnacentral:lncRNA from 1 species